CACUGGGCGCUGCAGCACCCCGACUCCUUCCUGCUGGAGCCGGCGCUGGCGGAGGUGGUGGCGGAGCUGCGGCGAGCGGCGCUGCACGAGGGGCGCGAGGGGCACGCGCGGCUGCUGGACACCAGCCACGUGUAAGGGCGGGCACGCGCGUGUGCAAGGCCGGGGGGGUGAGGGGGGUGCGGGGGCAAAAGGCGGGGGGGGCUGCGCACGUGUGUGUGCAAGGAGGGUGGGGGGAGUGUGCAACGGGGCGUGCACGGGGCUGUGCGUGCAAGGAAAACGUGCGUGGGGCAUGGGUGUGCAAGGUGUGUGUGCAUGGGGCUGUGCACAUGUGUGCAAGCAGCGCAUGCACAUGCAAGCAAUGCAUGCAUGGAGCAUGUGUGUGCAAGCCUUGUGUGCAUGGGGCUGUGCACGUGUGCAAGCAGCGCAUGCACAUGCAAGCAAUGCAUGAAUGCUGCACAAGAGUGCAAGCAAUGUGUGCAUGGAGCAUGUGCGUGCAUGGGGGCACGUGUGUGCACAGAGAAUGGGUGUGCAAGCAGUGUGUGCACAGUGCAUGUGCGUGCAAGCAGUGUGUGCAUGGAGCAUGCAUGUGCAAGCAAUGCAUGCACAGCGCACGAAGGUGCAAGCACCGUGUGCAUGGUGCAUGUGCAUGCAUGGGGCACGUGCAUGCAAACAGUGCAUGUUGCAUGGGCAUGCAAGCAGUGCAUGCACAGUGCAUGUGUGUGCAUGGUGCACGAGGGUGCAUGCAAUGUGUGCAUGGUGCAUGGUGCAUGGUGCAUGGUGCAUGGUGCAUGGUGCACGGUGCACGUCGGUGCCCGGUGCACGUGCGUGUGACCCCCGCGUGCAGGCUGCUGCCUCCCCCCGCCCGGCCCCCUCUGGCCCCCCCCCGGCCCCCCCGGGACCCCCGGGGGCAGCCCCAAGCGCAAGCUGUCGCUGCUCUUCGAC
rnacentral:lncRNA from 1 species